UACGUAGGGUGCAAGCGUUGUCCGGAAUUAUUGGGCGUAAAGCGUGCGCAGGCGGUUAUUUAAGUCGGGUGUGAAAGCCCCGGGCUCAACCUGGGAAUUGCAUUCGAGACUGAAUAGCUAGGGUACGGUAGAGGGAAGUGGAAUUUCCGGUGUAGCGGUGAAAUGCGUAGAUAUCGGAAGGAACAUCAGUGGCGAAAGCGACUUCCUGGACCAGUACCGACGUUCAGGCACGAAAGCGUGGGGAGCAAACAGG
rnacentral:rRNA from 1 species